UACGAAGGGGGCUAGCGUUGCUCGGAAUCACUGGGCGUAAAGGGUGCGUAGGCGGGUCUUUAAGUCAGGGGUGAAAUCCUGGAGCUCAACUCCAGAACUGCCUUUGAUACUGAAGAUCUUGAGUUCGGGAGAGGUGAGUGGAACUGCGAGUGUAGAGGUGAAAUUCGUAGAUAUUCGCAAGAACACCAGUGGCGAAGGCGGCCUCACUGCCCGAUACUGACGCUGAGGCACGAAAGCGAUGGGGAGCAAACAG
rnacentral:rRNA from 1 species